AUUGAACGCUGGCGGCAUGCCUUACACAUGCAAGUCGAACGGCAGCACGGGAGCAAUCCUGGUGGCGAGUGGCGAACGGGUGAGUAAAGUAUCGGAACGUGCCCAGUCGUGGGGGAUAACGUAGCGAAAGUUACGCUAAUACCGCAUACGAUCUAUGGAUGAAAGCGGGGGAUCGCAAGACCUCGCGCGAUUGGAGCGGCCGAUAUCAGAUUAGGUAGUUGGUGGGGUAAAGGCUCACCAAGCCGACGAUCUGUAGCUGGUCUGAGAGGACGACCAGCCACACUGGGACUGAGACACGGCCCAGACUCCUACGGGAGGCAGCAGUGGGGAAUUUUGGACAAUGGGGGCAACCCUGAUCCAGCGACGCCGCGUGGAGGACGAAGGUCUUCGGAUUGUAAACUCCUUUUGGAGGGGAUGAACGUCCCCGCGAAUAGCGGGGAGUGACAGUACUCUCUGAAUAAGCCACGGCUAACUACGUGCCAGCCGCCGCCGUAA
rnacentral:rRNA from 1 species